AUUGAACGCUGGCGGCAGGCCUAACACAUGCAAGUCGAACGAGUGGCGGACGGGUGAGUAAUGUCUGGGAAACUGCCUGAUGGAGGGGGAUAACUACUGGAAACGGUAGCUAAUACCGCAUACCAUCGGAUGUGCCCAGAUGGGAUUAGCUAGUAGGGGGGGUAAAGGCUCCCCUAGGCGACGAUCCCUAGCUGGUCUGAGAGGAUGACCAGCCACACUGGAACUGAGAAACGGUGCAGACGCCGACGGGAGGCAGCAGGGGGGAAUAUGGCACAAUGGGGGAAAGCCUAAUGCAGCCAUGCCGCGUGUAUGAAGAAGGCCUUCUGGUUGUAAAGUACUUUCAGCGGGGAUGCGUUACCCGCAGAAGAAGCCCCGGCUAACUCCGUGCAAGCAGCCGCGGUAAUUC
rnacentral:rRNA from 1 species